UACGAAGGGGGCUAGCGUUGCUCGGAAUGACUGGGCGUAAAGGGCGCGUAGGCGGAUCGUACCGUCAGAUGUGAAAUUCCUGGGCUCAACCUGGGGGCUGCAUUUGAUACGUACGGUCUUGAGUCCGGAAGAGGGUGGUGGAAUUCCCAGUGUAGAGGUGAAAUUCGUAGAUAUUGGGAAGAACACCGGUGGCGAAGGCGGCCACCUGGUCCGGUACUGACGCUGAGGCGCGAAAGCGUGGGGAG
rnacentral:rRNA from 1 species